rnacentral:rRNA from 1 species
UAAUGUCUGGGAAACUGCCUGAUGGAGGGGGAUAACUACUGGAAACGGUAGCUAAUACCGCAUAACGUCGCAAGACCAAAGAGGGGGACCUUCGGGCCUCUUGCCAUCGGAUGUGCCCAGAUGGGAUUAGCUUGUUGGUGGGGUAACGGCUCACCUAGGCGACGAUCCCUAGCUGGUCUGAGAGGAUGACCAGCCACACUGGAACUGAGACACGGUCCAGACUCCUACGGGAGGCAGCAGUGGGGAAUAUUGCACAAUGGGCGCAAGCCUGAUGCAGCCAUGCCGCGUGUAUGAAGAAGGCCUUCGGGUUGUAAAGUACUUUCAGCGGGGAGGAAGGGAGUAAAGUUAAUACCUUUGCUCAUUGACGUUACCCGCAGAAGAAGCACCGGCUAACUCCGUGCCAGCAGCCGCGGUAAUAC